rnacentral:lncRNA from 1 species
UACCUAACUAACUUCAUAACUGAGUCAACAAUCAUCAUCGCCUAUAAAAACUCAUAAUCUCACUCACUUUUUGCUUUCGAGCACUCUCUGAUUUUUUCCCAUACUCACAUUCAUCACUUUCUCUGAAAAUCCCAAUCAACCUUCAACAUUCACCAUCUUCUCUGAAUCAUCUUCAACAUUUAUCACCUUCAAUUCGAGAAUUCGUCAUUAGCUUCCACUCAUCCUUCAACCUCACUUCAGCAACAAGAACAAAAGAAGAAUAAAGAGAGGAGGAAGAGAAGAACAAAGAAGAGUUCAAGUUUGGGACCGUUACCUGAGACUACAAAAUUCCGGUGAGACUUCAAUAUUUUUUUCUUCCUUAAGUUACCGAGUUUUAGAGUCGCACGAGGGGAAUCAAAGCCCCAACGUGUGGUGGCUUGAUUCCCCUCUGUCAUUGUUCAAUUUAAGUUUUUCACAUUAGGGUUCUUGGAGAUUCUGUUCCAAUUUGCUUGAUUCUUGCAAAAUUAGGAGAUUACACUGUUGAAUUUGUGACUAGGAUGUGAUUUCAAGUAGGAUGUUGGUUUGUGAUUUGAUUUCUGGGAACCUCCAUCUCCGAGGACAGCCUCCGGUGCAACGGAGACGGUAACUGGGAUAGUGAGGAGCGAGACACAUAUUGGAACUCUUUCUUCUGAGUUGUUUCACUUGAGUUUUUUCUACCACGUGCAUAUGAUGACCGUUAG